AAACCUUUUAACUAAGUCCUGAGAGGCUUAUAAGGGUGUCAGGCUUGAACCAGACUGAUUGGGAUGGUUUAGGCUAGAUUCAAUGCACCCUGAAGGAAAUUUUCAGGGUGCAUUUUUUAU
rfam:Bacillus bataviensis LMG 21833 contig118, whole genome shotgun sequence.